CCUGACUGCAAAAUGCCGGCCGGAAUGCAGCUGCAGAAUGAAGCUGCUCCUUCGGCUGCAGAAAAAGUGGACUUGCUGGGCGGGGUUGUCGGUGCCGGAGAUUCCCUUAAUAUAUGUUCAGGACACGGGUUGAAUAAAUGAAGAGAUAGUAUAAAUGCUUAUGUCAGUCUUACAAGAUGGUAUCACUGAUUCUGACCUACAAAAUCAAGAGUUGAUCUUCAAUUAAAUGACCAUCACCUGGCUGAAGGAAUGAGGCUGAGUGCUGUGUUAAGAAUGUAGCCAAACUCUGCAUGAUCUUGUUUAACAA